UCGAUUUUUAAUUCCGUAAUUGGUUGAUUAUCUGAAUUUGAGUAUUUGUCAAAUUUAGGGUUCUUGUAUAAAUUGAUUUAGGAAAAGUUUCUGUUACCCAAUAUGUAUAAUUGAUCUGUGUGUAAUCUUUGAUUCAAUAUGGUUUGUUGUUAUAAAAGUCCAUUUUCGUUGUGUGUUCUGUUUUGCACGCAGCUACUGUUUUGGCAAUUUCUCAAUAAUUGUGUCGCUUUUAGACCUUGGAUCCUUAAUGAAAGUUGUGGAGCUUGAAGAGUUAAUGAAUUUAGGCUCAAGAAUUGUGUGAUUUGGAGUUGUAUACUAGGAGCUAUGCUUUGUGCAAGUUCUUGGUGUUAGCUAUUUCCGAGUUUAUUUAUAUUAAGUUUUUUUUAGAAGUAUUGGAAAUUCAGGGUUGUUACAGAGUCCUCCCCCUUACUGUUGAUGAAGGUCCUCAGACCUGACUGAGUCCUCUGCCUUACUGUUGAGAAUGGUCCUCAGACCUGACAGAGUCCUCCACCUUACUAUUAAUGAUGGUCCACAAACCUGACGAAGUCCUCCGCCUUUAUGAUUAAUGAUGGUUUGCAGACCUAACAUCUGAUUUCUACUGUUAACUCUCCAUAGUAUUUGUUGCCUCUAGAGCAAUGUACAUUUUGAUUUAUUUUUUUUUAGCGUCAUAUGCUGUAAGAAUGGCAAAAUCAUAUUUUUGCGAAUUUUUGGAAGUUCGUUAAUUAGUUUGUCGCGAGCGACAUUGAAGCAUAACGAACAUUUGAAAUCAUUUAGAAUUGAAGAAGUGGGACCCCACCUUGGCUAUGAAGCCCCCAAGCACAUUGUACAAGCUUGUGAGCUGGACGCAAAAGUUUACGCGUGGCGCAGUAUGAUGCGCUGGACACAGGAUCCUGUGCUUGGCGCAGUUUUGUCGGUGCGCAUGACGCAUGUUUUGCGCGCGUGGCGCAUGUCAUUAAAUGACCUAUAAUGCACGGUUUUUUUUCCAAAAACCCUCAUUUCAUUUCUCUUCUUCGUCCUUGCGCCAUUUUGCAUUUCUCUCUCUCUCUCUCUCUCUCACUUCAAAUCUCCAUUUUUGAACAUUUUGAGCUUCGAUUUUGGCUUGAAACUUGAAUUCUUUCAGAUCUGGGCUAGGGGAGUCUUGAUUUACACUUGGUUGCAAGUUUUGUGUGGUUUUUGAGCAUUUUUCAGCGAUUCUGAGAAGUUUUGAAGGUUCGAAAUUUUCGAACCAUCGUUGGGCAUUUUCUGGCGGCUUCCACGGCUGACUUGUGUCCCGGUGGUCCUUUUUUCCAGCGAUACGUUCUUCCCCUUUUUUCGUUUCGGUUUUUGUCCUUUUUUGUGCGUUUUUUUAUUUUUAUUUCGUUUUGUGCGAUUUUUGAAUGGAGUGAACGUGUGCAUUUGACCAGAUUUAAUUUUCCCGUGAUUUUUCCGGUCACUUUUCCGACGACUUUCUGUGAAUUUUCGACGAGUUUUCCGGCAAUUUCGGAUUAUGUUCUUCACGAGUUUAAACUUGUUCCACUAAAGAAGAGGAGAUAUGAAAGUUAUGCAUCAUCAGUGGGUUUGAAAGGCCCCAGGAUGGACUCUUGACCAGCUGCAAUUCUACACGGAGAAUCACGUCUCCCAUCGACCACUUACGGGUGGUGUGAGAAUCUGCAAUGCGAUACUUUAUUUUUCUUUUAGAUUAGUACUUAUGCACCCAUGUUGAUCGUGAUCGUAUUUGCAGGAGGAUGGUAAAUGUCGUCACUUUGCUACAUUUGACUUCAGGUGGCGCAAGAAGGUUCGCAAGAGCCGCUAUCGGGCAGUUCUGCGCGAUCAGAGUGGGCCUUCCCGCUUUAUUGACGUCUACGAGAGCAUGGGGGAUGUUCUUUCCUCCUAGAGCUUGUUCCGUAGACUGUUGGACUGGUGGUGGGAUACCACCAACUCCUUUCAAAUGCCUUGGAGGGAGAUCACCAUUACUCCCCUGGAUUUCUCGUUGAUAUCUGGUUUGUCUUUUACUGACAUCCGAGUGCCAUUAGUUGACAAGCUGGUGUUGAACACCCAGUAUGUCAGGGAGCUGAUCGGCCCGGUCGCUGAUACUAUUCCUCCGGCUCUGACAUAUGUCGCCUGAAAGGAUGUGGCUAGAGGGCUUCAUAUGCCCGAGACGACCGUCGAGCAAAAGGUGCACAUUCGUCUGUGGUUAGAUAUUUGCGGCAUGUUCCGUACCGACAAGGGAUUGCGGGUUUCGAUGCGAUACUUGGGAGCCUUGGAGCACUUGUCCCUUGUACACAAUUAUGAUUGAGCCGAGUUCGGCUACUGCAGCGAAUCCUGCCCACAUACUGCCUGCAUGCAGAAGAGUGAUGAUGCAUAGGUCUCCCUUUCUGGUCCUUGGAGACUUCUCGAGCUCUGGUUUUUUGAGUACUUUCUGAGUCUGUCUCUGGAAAGGGUUUUGGACCACUCCUUCCCUACCGGCCGUUACUGGGAGCAUUGCAGGGGGAGUAAAUACCAUCGUGAAUGAUGCUCGGAGGACGAUACGGUGUGCUAUGACGAACCAGAUUUCUUUCCAUCCUUAGGCUUUAUUGAGAGUUGCUUGACUGGGCUCAAAGGGCUAGCGCUCUAAUUUGAGAGAGGGUCAUUUUCUACGGGGAGGAUGGCCCCGUGUGGUAUCUUAGUGAGCGUGUUACGUGCUAGUUCGAUACCUCCCUCCUGCUAGUUCCUCAUGACUCUCCCGCAACUAUGAUGGACAUGGACGCACUUGACUUGAGCAGACGGUCCAGGAUGGGGCAGAUCUUCAUGUUGACUACCGCGAGUUUGUUCAUCGCAGGAUUGAUUACACCACCGUGCUCUUACCUCGGUUAUCCUCUCCUAUACGUUUUAACAAGGAGGCGUCUCAGGCUCGCAUUUCGUUCGUUUCAGAUCUGAGAAUCUAGUAUGUUAGCGAAACCGGACCAGUUAAGGAGAUUGUUAAUGUUAGCCCGGAGGCGGAGUAGCAUCCUGUUCGUGCUAAUCGGCCCAUGUGAGAUCGGUAACUCAAAAAACUGUUGUUCAGAUUCUCCGUUGGUGGAUUCUGUUAAGCAUGGGAUGACGAAGAUGAAGAGGAGAAUGUCUUAUUGACAGCCUGUGCAUAGCCAGGUAGCUUAUCAUAUUACAUUUCAAUUGUUCUUGUGUCGAUUUCUAAUGAUUUCUGACAUUUUAUGCAACCUCGUCCCGAGGCUAGAAUGUCGACCUAGUCUAGGCUCCCGACCCAGACUCCACGUGAUUCGACUCUCGAUAGGCCAAAAUCGGAUGUUUUUACUAGGCAGUUUGACAUGGGAGGUAUGAGAUUCUUAGGGGACCCUAGCUCCAACCCUUACUCCUGGACUAGCGCGAUGUGGAUGCAGCAAAUACCGCCAAUGUGGCUUAUGCAGCCGAUGUAUCCCAUGCAGCAGCCAGAGAUAGGCUACGACUGGCGAGGAUCUCAUGGGAGCGAGUCGAGCGACGUUCGAAUUGAGGGGCCAGAGGACUCCUUCUCGAGGGAUCAGGAUCCUCCUUCUUAGAUUUCUGCUUUUUACUCUUGUAUACAUGUGACCUGAAUUUCUGUUGUGACAUGUAUUGCACCUUUAUUUUGACUGUUAUUUUAUUUGUGCUAUUACUAAUGCCUUUGAUUGAUUUUUACUAUAAA